AAACUGGCUUUGGCACCUCCAGAGAAUGAACUGUUUCAUAGCCUAGCUGACCAUCCAUGAAAAUGGCUGCCUGGAGAGGCAGUGAUCAGCCCAUCCCUGCAGGGUGAAGAUAAGCUUGUGCAGGCCACUGGCUAACACAGUUCAUCCCAUGCCUCCUACAUACCAAGCACUGUGCCAGGCACUUUUCACGUCUGGCAUCCUCAGAAUCCUCCAAAAGGUCGGAUUCAGACAAUCCGGUGGAGCACUCUGAAAUUUAGAGGAAGUGGUCAAAUAGAAUUUUCUGGAAUUAUGGAAAUCUUCUAUUCUGUGCAUCUAGUAUAGUAGAAUCUAGUCACAUGUGGCUUUUGAGAACUGGAAAUAUGGCUAAUGCAACAGAGAAAGUGAAUUUUUACUUUUGAUUCAUUUAAAUAUAAAUGGUCACAUAUGACAUCACUGCCAUAUUGGACAUUGCAGUUCUGGAAGAUGGCAGAUGCAGCCCUCAGAAGAAUUAUCAGCCUGAAUGUCUGGGCGGAGCAGAGCACUACCUUCCCACUCACUCUUCCCCUCCUCUCGCCCCCUCCCCUGCCUCACUUGCAUCAGAUUAUGAUGUGAGCAAAAGCAGGAAACAGCUCUUUUGAUAGGCCUGUGAGACUUGCUGUUCGUUGGAGUAGCUAGGCUGCUCUGACUCAUACAGACCCAAAUCCUGGCAACCACUUUUAUGAAGAAAUGACAAUUCAGUCUACUACUUGUCCAUUUUACAUGCCCAAGGAAUGUGAGGGGCCUCUGCUUGGAUCUAGUUUUCAACCUAGUCUAUGGCAUUGAUUAUCCUUUUAAAAGACAAAAGAGGUGACUUCACGGGCACUUAACAUCUUGGCCAUACUGACCCCAGUUGCACGCUACGUAGGAAGUUUUAGUCCAUUUAAACUGAAGUUCCAAUUUUUUUUUUAACAACUAUUUAAAAAUUGUACAUGUCCCAUACAUGACAGAGAAAGGGUUGUCUGGUUGGAUGAUUUUUGGCUUGCAAAAAGAGAACACAAAAGAAAAGCAUACGUUUUAAUACUCAAGAGACCAAAUUUUCUGCUGAAGAGGAAAUGAACUACAUAUCCAGAAGGGUCCUACCAAGAGGCCAAACAGACUGUGUUCUCUUGGGGGAGUUCUCAGUGGUGAUGAGAACACCACUUUUUUUUUUUUUUUAGUCAUUUUCAAGGUGAGAUAUUGACUUGCUGCUGGAGCAGGACAACUGGUCUCUCUUUCAUUGCUAGCAGCAGAGUAAGGGUCUUGCAAGUUUCAGGCAGCAGCAGAGAAAGGGUCUUGCAAGUUUCAGUCCAAAGCAAGAAGAGCUAGGAUUGCACCAGCUGUCUCACCUACUCUGUGCUCACCUGUUUCUGGAUGAAGCACGGUGACAUCUGUUUUAUUGUAAAGAGAACCAACUUUGGAAUCAAAUGGAACCUGUAUUAAAAUCCUGAAUCCGUCACUAGCUUGGACAAGUCACUUCACUUCUCUGAACCUUGUUUUAUUCCAGUUAAGAAUAAUAGUAAGCCAGUCCCACAGAGCUGUAGCAAGGUUAAAAUGAAUGGUUGUCUGUAGAAGCAUUUAAAAUAGGGCUUCAUACAGAGCCAGUACCUGGGGAGACUGAGGGUUUGAACCACAUAGUUCCACUCUGGCAAAUCACAGAGGGGCUGUAGGAUGGUCCUUUAAGGGGGAUGUGUUAUGGGUUAAUUGGAACAGUGCUUCUUAAACUCCAGUGUGCAUUCAUAUUGCUUAGGGGUUUUGUUUAAAUGCAGAUUCUGAGUUACUAGGAUUAUGCAAUUUGAAUGAGCUUGCAGAUAAUUUCAUGGCUGCUGGUCUCUGACAUCACCUUUGAGAAGCAAAGAAUUAAAGGUCCUGUCCUGAUCUGUCUCCUUCUCCUGUUAUCUGUGCAAAAGAGAUAUACUGUCUACUUUGCAUAGUGAGAUGGCAGGUACAAAAGUAGGAUGAGGAUAAUGUAGCAUGAGCACAGAGAAGGAAAACCUAGGAGGAUGAGUAAAGAAAUCAUGGGAAAAGAGAUAGAUUCAAGGCUUUCAAUC
rnacentral:lncRNA from 10 species